GCUGGGCAUGGUGGCACAUGCCUAUAGUCCUAGCUACUUGGAGGGCUGAGGCAGGAGGAUCACUUGAACCCGGGAGGUUUAGGCUGCAGUAAGCUGAGAUCAUGCCACUGCACUCCAGCCUGGGUGAUAGAGUGAGACCCUGUCUCAA
rnacentral:SRP_RNA from 1 species